AUCCUGGCUCAGGAUGAACGCUAGCGGCAGGCUUAACACAUGCAAGUCGAGGGGUAUGGUUCUUCGGGAGCAGAGACCGGCGCACGGGUGCGUAACGCGUAUGCAAUCUACCUUUUACAGAGGGAUAGCCCAGAGAAAUUUGGAUUAAUACCUCAUAGUAUAGCAGUUUCGCAUGAAACCACUAUUAAAGUCACAACGGUAAAAGAUGAGCAUGCGUCCCAUUAGCUAGUUGGUAAGGUAACGGCUUACCAAGGCUACGAUGGGUAGGGGUCCUGAGAGGGAGAUCCCCCACACUGGUACUGAGACACGGACCAGACUCCUACGGGAGGCAGCAGUGAGGAAUAUUGGACAAUGGGCGCAAGCCUGAUCCAGCCAUGCCGCGUGCAGGAUGACGGUCCUAUGGAUUGUAAACUGCUUUUAUACAGGAAGAAACCCUGGUUCGUGAACCAGCUUGACGGUAUCGUAAG
rnacentral:rRNA from 1 species